rnacentral:rRNA from 1 species
AACGGCAGCUAGCUCUCUGCAACUCUGCCCACCGAAGCAAAGCAGGGUUGUGCCUGGUCAGUACCUGCAUGGGAGACCACUAGGGAACACUAGGUUGCUGUCGGAA